rnacentral:tRNA from 1 species
AAUUAACUGGUCUAAAUUAAGACAUUUACUUUGAAAGUAAAAGAUAAUGCUAAAUGAAUUGUUAAUUU